rnacentral:lncRNA from 1 species
GGGAUGCCAGGUGUCCAUGUUGAUGGCAUGGAUGUGUUGAAGGUGAGGGAGGUAGCAAAGGAGGCUAUUGGGAGAGCUAGGAGAGGAGAAGGCCCAACUUUGGUUGAAUGUGAGACUUACAGAUUCAGAGGACACUCUUUGGCUGAUCCUGAUGAGCUUCGUGACCCAGGUGAGUUGCUUUUAAGAUUUGAAAUUUGUAUAUACAUAAGAUUUGAAAUUUGUUGUGAUUGUAUAUUUGUAUUGUGAAUUGCAGCUGAGAAGGCUCAUUAUGCAACAAGGGAUCCAAUAACAGGAUUGAAGAAAUACCUGAUUGAAAACAAACUGGCAAGUGAAGCAGAUUUAAAGGCGAUAGAGAAGAAGAUAGAUGAGGUGGUUGAGGAAGCUGUGGAGUUUGCAGAUGAAAGCCCUGCUCCUUCAAGAAGCCAACUGCUGGAAAAUGUGUUUGCAGAUCCAAG